UAAAUACCGUGACGCGCCCCUUGCUCUCAAGUCUUGAUCGUCACUAUCAUCACUGCCGCUGGCCAGGUCUUCUAAAUCUCAGUCCGCGCGCAAAUUCUUUGUCCUCCUCCUCCUCCUCCCCCCUCAUUCCCUCCCCCACACUCUCCCAGUCCGUCUCUUCUCUCGGUCACGGCAGCUAGAACUACAAGGCGUAGGGGGAGCAGAGCAGGACCAAUUUGCCACGGUAGACGGCGGAUCGGCACUAGCAUGAGCUGGCAUUCUCCAUGUCUCCGUGAGAGCGACUUCCAUGGAACUUUUCGCUAAUCGCAAUCACCCGUCUCCUCUGGCCUUGUCUUUUGAUCUAACUUCGGUUUCUUCCUUUUCUGCUACUGGAAAUUGUUCUUAUCUCUGCCGAUCCUUCAUUUCUUUGCCGCAAUCAGUGGAUCCCAGCCUUGGUUACUGUAAUCUGUUGGACGCAGCGAUGGUGGCGGUGAUUCAUCAUUUGAUCCGGUCAGUUCCUGUAACUUUAUUUUAGUUUCUAUUCUCAUCGUUGACAUUCGAGCUGUUGCUGCUGUAGUGUUUUCUUUUCUUUCUUUUUUUCCAGAAAUAAACGGAGUUCUGUGUUUCUGUGAUCUAUUAGUGUUCCUUCUGUGUUUCAUUGAUCUACUAAGUUAGGUAUGUCCUGCAGAUAUGUUGAAAUGAAUCCUUCUCUGCUGUCCGUAUGCCUUUGCUCUAAUGAUUUUGAAUGCAUUUUCCAGUUUCGUUUCUUUUGAACGCGGUGAAAACGUUGUCUACGCAUUUUGGUGAUGUUAUUUUUCGGUUAGUGUGACUGAGAUUGCCCGAAGAAAGGAAUGCAGGAUGUUUCCAGUUUCAUUUGAGCAAUUGUACAUGAGUGGGAGGUCUCUCUUUUUCUGUCUUACUGAAUAUUCAGCCACUAUGAAUGGCGCUCAUAAUGUGGUUAAUCCCAAUACUCAGUGGCAAUGCUGAGACAAGGUGGAAAUUCUAGGUGAAAUUAGUAUAUGAUAACUUAAAGUACUGAGCUUUCCCGUUGGAGGCACUGUUGAUUGGGAGAGGACUUCUUUAACAAUGAACUUUCUUAAAUAUACAUUGGAUAGUUGCCUGAAACGUACUUUAUGCUGGCUAUGUUGUCAUAUCUGCUGUCUUAGAUGCUGAGAAGUUAGUCGUUCUAGAAAUUUCUUUUGCUGUAGAGCAUUUAGUGCAGAAUCAGUUGUUGAUUAACCUUUGCUAUAGCUAAAAACUGAAAGCUACUUCAGAAGCUCUUGGGUUAGUAUGAACCUGAUGUAUCAGGAUGGAAAAUAUGGAUCAUUCAGUUUAGCUCGACUACAAUUACCCCCAUCCCAUAGAGUUAAAUCGAUGUUAAGUGGCACGAUUAUUCUUUAGAUGUGAAACUUUCUGUUAUUUUUGUAAUACUUCAGGACCAUGUUGCAUGGAUGAUCUGCACAAACACCACCACCAUCAAACCCCCCACCCUCUCUUCUGGUGCACCAGUCACAUCCUUAUGUCUAGAUAAUAAUUUUAGUAAGACCUGUGUCAGCUCAUCGAACAACUCUUUAGCAUCUAUUCCUUCCCAGAUUUCUUCAUCUCGAUAUCCAGGCUUGCUCGAGGGCUCUUGGCUUUUAUUCUGGUCUGUGGUUCUGUUAUCUAAGAUGUGAAUUUGCUCUAUGAGAUCAGCACAAUUAUCUCAUGCUUUGAUAAUAUAUGGUUGAGUGUGCUACUGUAUGCUUCUUCUUGAAGCCUUUUGCGGAGGCAUGCCAGAAGCGAUCAGUAGAGAAAACUAGGACUUUCUAUGAGACACUGAGGCUUCCAGAGUAGCUAAAUUUUUGUGUGGUUAUCCUGCUUGAUAUGUGGUUCAGCAUUGAGCUUCCAAUUUUUGACAGCCUGUAUAUAAGCAGCUCUGUGGAGAAUUUGGUAUUUCCAGAUGAUGGGUAUUCUCAAGGUUGGACUGGUUAGAUUCAUUUUUUCGCAUAUGAGCCAGCGUAUGGAUGCAGUUCAGAUAACAACAACUGCAUUAGUUUCUGUGGGCCCUUUUUCUGGGAACGCAAUCUGUGAAUCUUUCUCUGAUCGUGUCAACGCUCAACAAAAAAUGAGGGAGGAUGGUUGCAUUUGAGAUGCACGGAAGGAAGGUAACUUCAUUUUACUUUCCGGUUGCAUUUGGGAUCUUUGUUCUACACUAAAUAAUUGGCUGCAAAUAAUUAAUUAAUGAAGAGGAAGAGAGGGGGAUUCCUUCCCAUUGGCCUAACAGAAUUUAAGGAGCUCGCAGUAUCAGUAUCAGGGACAGAGAGGCAGAACCCUGAGAUGGAGAUAGAUCAAGCACGAACUCCAACUUUUUCAUAGAUCCCAACAACUCAACCGGCACAACCCCUGGCUCCGAUGCGUUUCUCUCUCUCUCUCUCUCUCUCUAGGGCCUGUUAUGAUAAAGGUAAAUUCUGCAGACCUAAACGAAACUAUCAAAAAAAUUAAGAGGACAUACAGGGAACACUCCAGCGCUGGACAGAACAUGGGACAACAAGAAGGAAGCUCAGCAUUUGCACCGCAGCAGCUGGAAUCAAGGCUGGAACCUACAGGAUCAGAAUGGGGCUUCAUUAGCACUGAUGCAGCCUGGAACGUCAGCAGAUCAUGCCUUAGUGGUGUCUUGCAGCAACCAAAUAGACCACCAGCACUCUCAUAGUUCCAAAUCUUGCAUGAAGCAAAGCCACUGCCGGCAAAAGUCAAAUAUGUCCUUCUUACUCUAUCCAUAGCUGUGUGAUGCCAUUUUACACCCACACAAUGCACCGUGGGAGAUUAGGAGAUAGUUUCGGAUAUUACUAGUAUGUUAAAUCUUUUUACUGAAUGGUUAUGUACUUGGAUCCCGAUGUCGGAUAACUCUCUCGCUCAUGAUUGGGGCCCAUUCGAUUUCAUGUGAAAUUUUCACUCUCUAUGUACUUAUGAGGGGUA